rnacentral:lncRNA from 1 species
ACUCACUAGACCACUUUCAAUUUCUCAGAUUUCAAAUUACCCUUGAAAAUCUAACUAGAGAUACAGCUAUAACCAACUUAAUCAAACUCAAUCUAAGAUGAAUGGACAGAAACCAGUGAGGAAAAACAUGCAUUUAAACUGAACUGGCAACCCACGGAACUUAGAGAUUGACAACAUCAGUUCAAUGUUAUUACUGACUAAGUAAAUGAACCGAUUUCUAAACUUAUGCACUCAGGCACACUUAUCAAUUUUAACAAUGUGAUGCAUUAAUUUCAUACGAACAGACUAACUUGGUUUGACCAUAGAAUCAAACAGAAACGAAGCAGGAGAAGAAGAAACAUGAAAAUUAAACAAAGAAAAGAGAGCUGAAAAAUACCGGAUAUUCAAAACUGACCAACACUGAAACUUCCUCGUCCCUUCGUUUUUUGCAGAAGCGGACCUUAAUCGUGUGCUUCCAAUAUGGAAACAUAUUACUAAGGUCGAAUUUAGUCCCAAAAGAUCCUCACAGUGCGUGUUUGGUCUUCCAGUCAAACUUAGGGCUCCGUUCAAUCAAUAUAAGAUUCGAAAACUUCCAGCUUGAUUCAAACAAAAGAUGGCGUUAAAUUAGGGAUGAGGGAGGUCAGGUGGAGCUGGGGUGUGAAUUUGGAACUGGUUGGGUAGGUUUAAGGUUUUGUUCGAAUCUUCGAUUGAAGAUUCGAAACAAACCGGGAUGGUUCGAUGUGAAAGGGUUAAGGAUUUGGAGAGGGGGGAUCAGGGUGGUUCAGGGGUGUAAGUUUGGCGGACAUCGGAGCCGGCGCCGCCGGUUUUUCAGGCGAAGGAAAUGGGGGCGGCGUUUAGUGUUCAGGGGUCGUUUGGUGUCUCUGAAGAGACGAAGGGGGAGUGUUUGGAAAUGAGACGGGUAAAGGGGAUUUGGAGGGGGGUUUAUUUGGAUAUAUAAUUGCUUAAUUAAUCUAGGCCGUUGGAUAAUGAGAUCCAACAGUUCAGAAUAAAAAGAAAUGAUGGGGCGGUCCAGUUUGGUAACGGGUGAGGGUCGGGAUUUGGAUUUGGGCCGCAUAAAUGCACACCUGGGUUUAGGAAGGUAAAAUUAAUUAAGAUGUGUCCUAUAGACACUAACGUAUUUGUUGUUUUGGAAAAGGCCUUGAAUUUCAUUAAGCGGCCAAUUUCGAAGUCUAUUCACUUAUUAUGUCUAUUUAGUCAAGGAGCCGCAAUUUGUAAUUUAUUUGGCAGUGCAUGCGUCAUUUUAUUUUAAAGGAUAACCUGAAGCGACUAAUUUUCUAUUUUCGUUGCAUUUCUAAAAAUAAGAGAAAGAGACCUAGGUAAUUAAUAUUGGGUUAAGAACUAUUAUAAUUGGGCCUUGAGCAUAACCCAUUUAAAAUCAGAACCCAAAUCGCUUUAGUAUAGACUCUCAGUCCCUUUUCGCAAAAAAUGAAACACAACUCUGAUUUAAACAAGACUAGACAUUUGCUGAAUUUUAAUUUUAAUUUUAAUUUUUUAUAAUGAGUACCUUAGACAAGAUUAAAUGCAAAGAUUAAAUUGAGUAAAAUGCCCAUGAGAUAAACUAAAGUAUAUGAACUACCCUUUUUAUCACACAAUUUAACUAUCUGUAUCCUUCAUAUUCCCUAAUACACUUUCCUAGUAUUUCCAACAAACUAAAUUAUUACUGAAAUAGCUUCGCAAUAUAACUUAAUUGCAACUAUAUUAUUACUAGAAUAACUUCAUGAAGCAAUCGAAAUGACUACAGGAGUUAGCCUUAGCUAGUUAAGACAUUACUCUAUUGGACAUAAGCAUAACUGAACGCUUAACUAAUACUCAUACAAGUCUAGAAAAAUACUCAUAGUCAAAACACAGUCCCGUAUGAAUUAACUGAUCUAAGCAGUUCAGAAAUUAAUCUAAUUAUGUAGUCCAUAAUAAAAUUACAUAUUAAACAAACUAAAUGCGUAUACUACUCAUCACAUGGUCGAAUACAGCUAUAUGCAUCCAAACGAGCAUAGAUCUGGAAAUAUGAUUUCAUUUCGUUGUUUCGACAGGAUAAGCUACAUUGAUAAUCCAGAAUGUGUACCUGGUAAUUUACUAAGCAAAUGAAAGGAGGGAGGAUCAGUAAUGAAGAGCAGUAACAAACACGGCACAGCAACAUGUUCAAGCAACACCAGUGAACAACACUCUGGGAAACAAAACUUGGAAUUUCAAAUAAACCAGUAGGAAACACUAACACUGAUUUUUAGCAAAAUAGACUAUACUCUCAUAAUAUUGAACUUCUGAUCUUAAAAUUCAGUUCUAAGCUCUUAAUUUCUAAUCUUUUAAAUUCAGUCCCACUCUUAGUUCUAAGUUUCUGACCUCUAAAACUCUUCUCCUUUUCUAUUUUCGACCCCCUGUAUUUAUAGCCCAUUCCAUCCCUUAAAAGGCACUAAGCCAGCUGCCUCAUUCAUUACUCCCUCAUGUAAUUUUGCUUUUCAGAUCUUAGGAGCAUUAUCACUAAUUAAAGAAGUGAAUAAACCCAUGUUAUUCCCUGCAUUCCCCACUCAUAAUAAUCAAACACUUAGCUUUUUGGUACCACCACUGGCCUUUCUUUCUUUAUUAAGUUACUAAGGUAUGGGCAGCCUAUUAUUCUAUUCAAAAUCCCUUAAACCUGUGAAAGGGUGCCCCUGUGACUUCUACUUUCUGACCCUAAGGGUGUAUUAAUCAAUGUAUUAACUUAUUGGUCCACUAGUAUCACCUGACAGACCACUCACUAGACCACUUUCAAUUUCUCAGAUUUCAAAUUACCCUAGAACAUCUCACUAGAGAUGCAGCUAUAACCAACUUAAUCAAACUCAAAUCAGAUACUGAGAUGAAUGGACUGAAAUCAGUGAGGUAUAACAUGCAUUUAAACUGAACUGGAAACCCACAGAACUUAAAGAUUGACAACUUCAGUUCAAUGUUAUUAUUGACGAAGUAAAUGAACUGAUUUCUAAACUUAAGCAUUCAGGCAGACUUAUCAAUUUUAACAUUUUGAUGCAUUAAUUUCAUACGAAUAUACUAACUUAGUUUGAUCACAGAAUCAAAUAGAAACGAAGCAGGUGAAGAAGAAACAUGAAAAUUAAACAAAGAAAAGAGAGUUGAAAAUACCGGAUAUUCAAAACUGACCAACAUUGAAAUUCCUCGUCCCUUCGUUGUGGGCAGAAGCAGACCUUAAUCGUGUGCUUCCAUUGUUGAAACAUAUGACUAAUGUGGAAUUCAGUCCCAAAAGAUCCUCACGGUGCGUGUUUGGUCUUCGAGUCAAAAUUAGGGCUCCAUUUAAUCAAUCUAAGAUUCAAAAAGUUCCAGCUUGAUUCAAACAAAAGAUGGCGUUAAAUUAGGGAUAAGGGAGGUCAGGUGGAGCUGGGGUGUGAAUUUGGAACUGGUUAGGUAGGUAUAAGGUUUCGUUCGAAUCGUUGACUGAAGAUUCGAAACAAACCGGGAUGAUUCGAGGUGAAAGGGGUAAGGAUUUGGAGAGUGGGGAUCAGGGCGAUUAAAGGGUGUAAGUUUGGCAGACAUCAGAGCCGGCACCGCCGGGUUUUCAGGCGAAGGAAAUGGGAGCGGCGUUUAGGGUUCAGGGGUCGUUUGGUUUGUCUCUGAAGAGACGAAGGGGGAGUGUUUAGAAAUGAGACGGG